rnacentral:rRNA from 1 species
CUCGGAGUUUGAUCCUGGCUCAGAUUGAACGCUGGCGGAAUGCUUUACACAUGCAAGUCGAACGGUAGAGGGGGCAACCCCUUGAGAGUGGCGAACGGGUGAGUAAUAUAUCGGAACGUGCCCAGUCGUGGGGGAUAACGUAGCGAAAGUUACGCUAAUACCGCAUACGAUCUAAGGAUGAAAGCGGGGGACUCGCAAGAGCCUCGCGCGAUUGGAGCGGCCGAUAUCAGAUUAGGUAGUUGGUGGGGUAAAGGCUCACCAAGCCAACGAUCUGUAGCUGGUCUGAGAGGACGACCAGCCACACUGGAACUGAGACACGGUCCAGACUCCUACGGGAGGCAGCAGUGGGGAAUUUUGGACAAUGGACGCAAGUCUGAUCCAGCCCAUUCCCGCGUGCAGGACGAAGGCCUUC